GACAGCAAUAUUACCGCCUUGCAGCCUGAUCUCAUCAGAUCUCAGAAGUUAAGCAAUUAUGGGCCUGAACAGUACUUUCAUGACAGAGAACUAAGGAAAACCAGGUUGCUGCUGCAA
rnacentral:rRNA from 1 species